ensembl:lncRNA
AAAAUACCCCUGCUCCUAUAAAUGUAAACCGAAGUUUAACAAUUGCAAAUGAUACCAAUUUAUCUUCCAAAUGUACAGUAUAAACAUGGUAUGCCAUUAUAUACUGACUAACGUUUUCUCAGCCGUGUCUGCAGGUUUAAAUAGCCAGGGGUCUUCAGUCAUAAUGACAGCUCCAGAGGCAAGGCAACUUGCUACUGCCAGGUGUGCGAGUGGAAAGAACCCAACUUCCCUCCCAGCUCUAGCCCAUGCAGUCUUCCCAGUUGCUAGCCUGCAAUGCCAGCCUGGCUAUUCCUUUCCUCUUGACUGGGACAGGAGGGCAAAGCUGGGGCCCUCUAUUACGAGUUGGGACCUAGUAGGGUACAACAAAGGCCUGUGUGAGCAAGACCCUACUCAGCUGCCUG